rnacentral:rRNA from 1 species
AGCAGCCGCGGUAAUUCCAGCUCCAAUAGCGUAUAUUAAAGUUGUUGCAGUUAAAAAGCUCGUAGUUGAAUUUCGGGGUUAGUAAGUUGGUCGUGCCACUGGUAUGUACUGGCUUUACUGAUUCCUCCUUCUUGUAGAACCGUAAUGCCAUUAAGUUGGUGUUGCGGGGAAACAGGACUGUUACUUUGAAAAAAUUAGAGUGUUUAAAGCAAGCUAACGCUUGAAUACAUUAGCAUGGAAUAAUGAAAUAGGACGUUCGAUCCUAUUUUGUUGGUUUCUAGGAUUGACGUAAUGAUUAAUAGGGAUAGUUGGGGGCAUUAGUAUUCAAUUGUCAGAGGUGAAAUUCUUGGAUUUAUUGAAGACUAACUACUGCGAAAGCAUUUGCCAAGGAUGUUUUCAUUAAUCAAGAACGAAAGUUAGGGGAUCGAAGACAGAUCAGAUACCGUCGUAGUCUUAACCAUAAACUAUGCCGACUAGGGAUCGGAUGAUGUUAAUUUUAUAAUGACUCAUUCGGCGCCUU